UUUAGAUGGUUGAAACCACAGUGAUAACUAUACCAACAACCAGACAUUGUUUUUUUCCAUGGAAAUGUUGUUGUGCUUUUAGAUGGUUGAACGCACAGUGAUAAACACAUUGGAAUUUCAACAAUGAGUCAUUCCUUCCACCACAUUUAUAAACGAAUCAACGAUACCACAGCUGGCUAAUCGAAACUAGGCGAUAGUGAACAGUCCCACAACAAAGACAAAUUAGUCAAGGGUCAUUGCUGCCCUCUGUCGUUUGUUUGCGUUCUGUACAUUCACGUUUCCAGAGAGGAGAAACAUCCUUUUGUCUGCACUGAAACCACACACAUUGUGGCCUUUUAAUAGAUACAUUUGGCUUUAAUAUAAAGUCACUGUAAACCCAAUGAAAACAUUUGUACACAGAUUAGAAACAUGAUACAUUUUUAUUUACAGUUUAUAAAUUGUACCAUCACAUCUAACCAAAACGUCAACCAUUUGAUGUUUUAACUAGUUAAAUUGUCCCUGUACAUUUCAAAAGCAUAAAAACAAAACAAAAGGUUAGACAUUUUUGUCGAAGAUUAAAAGGCAUGAAUAUCUUCCCUCCCUUAGAUAAAAACUCCUCACUCAGACAGACCCAUUUAAUAGGUCUGAACCCAAUGAAGCCCCUUCUAGUGAAGUGAGUCUGUUGUCUGGCCUCAGGCUAUAAUGAGGAAGGGAAACGACUAGGCACAUGCCACAGAGGGAAACUGGUUUCUCUCUGUUCUUAAAAUGGGUCUCCAGGUUCUCUUUCAAAAAGGCCUGAUUGACUCCCUCACUCCAAAAACAAGUCAUGGUUUGAAUAUGUUAAUGAAGACUCACCUGAGACACCUGACACUCCACUGCAUUAACAAGCAUCAUGACGCUAAAUAAAUGGACAAAACACAGUACGUCUAUGUCAUGAAAACAACUAUUAAAAAGGUUAACAACUUUAUUUAUUACAGGGUAUUAUCAAUCUAGAGUUGAUAUUAGAGGGUAUUAUCAAUCUACAGUUGAUAUUAGAGGGUAUUAUCAAUCUAGAGUUGAUAUUAGAGGGUAUUAUCAAUCUAGAGUUGAUAAAAACAAACAAACCGUCACUAAAAAGCUUGUGGUUCUCAAACAGCCAAGACCUGUGACUGACGUGAGAAGCUCUUCUGUCACACCAACAGUAGACAAUAAAAGGCAGGAGGAAAACUGCAUUAUCCAAUAAGCUGCACUGAGAAUUCAUACACAGUCUUAUUCAGGCAAUGGCAGCUUGUAACAGAAAGCAAAUUUAAAUUCAGAUUCAAGAAUAAAAAAUAUUUAAAAAUCCUCAUUGAAAAUACUAGAUGGCACUUUUCAAAUCUUUGAAUCAGCAUUCCAAUUCGCUUCCUGACUACUGAACUGAAUUGAGGCCGCCCUUCCUUCAAUCACAGGCUGUACUCCACAUUGAAGGCCUUUACAUAGAUAACAGUGAUACUCCACAUUGAAGGCCUUUACAUAGAUAACAGUGAUACUCCACAUUGAAGGCCUUUACA
ensembl:lncRNA